GCCUGGGUGGCUCAGUCGGUUGUGUGGCCAACUUCAACUCAGGUCAUGAUCUCGCGGAUCGUGGGUUCAAGCCCCGCCUCAGGCU
rnacentral:tRNA from 1 species